AACGUAGGUUCCGAGCGUUAUCCGGAUUUACUGGGCGUAAAGCGCGUUCAGGCGGUUUGGCAAGUCGGGCAUGAAAUCCCUCGGCUUAACCGGGGAACUGCGUCUGAUACUGGAUGGCUUGAGUUCGGGAGAGGGAUGCGGAAUUCCAGGUGUAGCGGUGAAAUGCGUAGAUAUCUGGAGGAACACCGGUGGCGAAGGCGGCAUCCUGGACCGAUACUGACGCUGAGGAGCGAAAGCCAGGGGAGCAAACGGG
rnacentral:rRNA from 1 species